AACGAACGCUGGCGGCAUGCCUAACACAUGCAAGUCGAACGAGACCUUCGGGUCUAGUGGCGCACGGGUGCGUAACGCGUGGGAACCUGCCUUUAGGUUCGGAAUAACUCAGAGAAAUUUGCGCUAAUACCGGAUGAUGUCUUCGGACCAAAGAUUUAUCGCGUUUGGAUGGGCCCGCGUUGGAUUAGCUAGUUGGUGGGGUAAAGGCCUACCAAGGCGACGAUCCAUAGCUGGUCUGAGAGGAUGAUCAGCCACACUGGGACUGAGACACGGCCCAGACUCCUACGGGAGGCAGCAGUGGGGAAUAUUGGACAAUGGGCGAAAGCCUGAUCCAGCAAUGCCGCGUGAGUGAUGAAGGCCUUAGGGUUGUAAAGCUCUUUUACCCGAGAUGAUAAUGACAGUAUCGGGAGAAUAAGCUCCGGCUAACUCCGUG
rnacentral:rRNA from 1 species